AUUGCCUAAAAGGGAACACAUGCCAAACAGAUCCACAAUGGCACAGAUCAAAUGGCACUUUCUAUUGUGUGCUUAGAAGGCGACAGAUGUCUGGGCGCACUUGAUUCCUAUUUUUUUCAGGGGCGUGGAAGUGAAAAUUUGGGUUUCUACAAAGGGAUAGCAAAUAGCUAGAAUAGCUGGGGCAGACACAGGACUGCAGGACAGGGAGGUGGCCUUCUUGGGUUUUAGUCUAUGACUCAUUGUUUGACUCUGGCAGGUAACUUCCUUCUUUCAAUUUUCCGCCGUAAAAGGAGCUAGUGGGGUUGUUUACUAAGAUUCCAAAAGCAAAUCUCAGAAUGGGACAAGGAAAAGGUUGUUUGCCUUGCCUGUUCUUUUCCACAAAGCAAAGUAACUGAGGUGUUUAACAGGCAUUAACUGAAGAUAACAGAGGACAUCCGAGACUGGUUAUAUUAAUAGACCUUCCAGAAAAAUUUAAACCCUUAUGACUGCCAUUUUACUUUCGAACCCAUCAUUUUCUUUCAUGAGAGUGUUGUUUGGGUGUGUUUCGUUUUGUUUUGUUUUUGUUUUAAGUUUAUUUAUUUAAUUUUUCAGUAAUCCCUGCACCCAAUGUGGGGCUUGAACUCGUGACCCCGAGAUCAAGAGUCGCAUGUUCCACCGACUGAGCGGGGCAAGCGUCCUGUGUUUUUUGUUUCUAAAUCAAAGGUAUUCCUGUGCUAUCUAAAUAUACGUUGAUCUCAUUUAAUGUUGUCAGGACAUAGUCUUCCUUUAGUUCAUUUUCAUAGAAAAAUGGGCUCUAAAACCUAGAGUUCAUGUGGCGCCCUUUUGGGGUUGGAUUGAAUCCCCCUCCUGAAGACAUCCACCAUAGCACAAGCUCUGGAACCCAGACCGAGGGGUCCAGGCAUUGUGUCCCGUCCAGGAGCCACUGCCCACGUGGACAGCACUGCCUAUAUCCGCCCUUGUCUUUCUCCUUCCCAGCUUACCGUUUUCCUAGACUAAGGUGAACUUUCCUCCUUCUCUCUUCCGAGACCUGCAGAUUUACAAUUCAGAUGGGCAGCCUUGGGAUGAGGAAGGUGAGAGGACCCUGGCAAAGGAUCUUUUAGAACAGAAUGAUUUGGAGCCUUAUGGGUUUGGUCCUGUUUUGCAGGAUGGGGGUGGAAAUCUUCAGCUCUCUUUGAGACUUCCUUCUCAUCGAUUCCUUUGUUCUUUAACAAAUACUUCUUGAGCUCUUUGCUAGACCUUCUUCUCCCUUCCUCUCAUAUCCAACGAGAGGCCAAAUUGCAUUCGUUCAUCUUCCCCAAACAGGUCCUCGUUUGCCCUUCCCUCUCUACUCUUAUUGCCACAACCCUGAGCAAGUCCCUCAUUACCGCUGCCCUGGACCAUCUUAAUAACCUCCUGAACAGCCCCUUGGAUUCUCAUGUCGUAAGAUAUGAGAGUUGAUCUCAGGCCUCUAUAAGAUCUCUUCCAGAUGUAAGUCUAUGAUGACAUUCCGAGUCCCCAGGAGAGAGUGAGUUUAGGAUUCCAGUGGCCCCCUUCCUAUUAGCCACUAGAUGGCACCCUCUCCCCUUCCUGAUGUCUUCAGUGGCCACUCUAGCCCUCUAGAGUCAGGGCCCUUAGUGAUCCGUGGGGAUCUUCGCACACAGAAGGGCCAGUGGGGCCCUGUAACCUGUCUCUGCAUAGCCAUCUCCUGCAGCUGUGCACGGGGGCACCCAGAUGAGGGGAGGAGAGGCACCUACCAGACAGCUCCUGCUGCUGUUAGCGAGCCACACACCUAGAAAGAGGCCACGUCCGGCCAGAGGAAGAGGUGGCUCCUUGUAAUUGGCAAACAGGUACCGUGUGGCAACACGGCAGCUCUGUUAACAGCCCCUCGCGCCGGUCUCGGACCUCCUGACCCGCACAAGUGCACUGCAGGAGGUGGUCAAGGAUAGUGGGUCUUGACAGGGACCCAGAGGUGAGAGACUGUGGCCUGGUGGGGACUCUGGUCUCCUCCUUGGGGCUUGAGAGGACCCGGGCAGGGCUGGCGGUCGCCGUGGCAUCCCUGAAAGUCAGCCCUCCUUAGGACCUGGAUGGUCCUAAGAGGAGUGAGCGAAACCAGGGCUGGUGUGGAGGACCCGCACUGCUGAGCGGGACGGCCUGGGAGCUGAGAUCUCUGGGCUCCAGUCCUGGGGCUGUUGGCGAUGCUGGUUGGAUCGUUUCUCCCGGCCGUGGCUUGGAUUCCUCGUGUGUGAACAGGGAUAAUCCCUCGCUAGCCCCUCUUCCCAGAGGCAUAAGUGCAGCAUCGAGGGGGUGGGGGAACACCGGUGAGCAGCUCUGUCCAGAGCUGAGGCAUUCUCAGGGGGAGACAGGAAGAAUGUGGUUGUUUACCUGGGACGCCAGGCCAGGCCCGGUCUGCGGGAGGAGGAGAGAGCUCUGUUGCUGCGGAAAGGGGAGAAGAUUUGGCUGCAGACCUGAGUGGAAGGGGAGGGACAAGGGAACAAACACAAUAAAAUCCAGGCCGUCUGAAGGACACGCUCCACAGCUUCGGGACCGAGAUAACCGUCCCCACCCCCUGCUACCUCGUCAGGUCCCUCAACCCACCCCGAGCCCUGUGCAAAGGGCCCCCACGGGACUGCCAGGCAUUGCCACACGCAGGUGGAGGCGAACGAGACACGGAUAAGCAGGAAAACGGCCCAUGAAGGGCUCUGCCUGACUGGUGGUCAUGAGAGUGGCCUCCCUCUAGGAAGGUCCUCAGCCAGGAGCUCUCACUGUCGCUGCGGGAAUGAAGCCAUUGAGCUACCAGAACAAUGGGCCGGGUCACCCCAACCACUCAGCACAGACCAGAACCUUGGGGUCUCUGGGGUCCCUAAGUGGCUCCAGGUCACUGAUGUACGGCAUCUGUGGAAGCUGACCUUUACGCUCCUCAGUCUAUAAAAGUCAGGGCUUAAUUUUUCCUUAUUAAAGUAAACAAAAAUCUCUCAUAAGGAGCUCUGAGCCAGGAGUCAGAGGCUUAAAUGCUAAUAGUAAUCUAACAUUUAUACUGCGUUUUGAAAUACACGAAGCCUUUUUAUAUGCAUUAUUUGGAAUAGCCCUCAAUAACCUCGUGAGGUAGAAUUUUACUAUUUUUCUAUUUCUUACUGUUUUUCCAUUUUAUUUUAUUUUGCUCCGUUUUUAUUCAGAGAGGUUAGGUGAAGUUUCCCAAGGACACACAGCCAGUAAGUGAUUUCAAAAAAAAAAAAAAAAAGAAUUUUU